rnacentral:rRNA from 1 species
UACGAAGGGGGCUAGCGUUGUUCGGAAUUACUGGGCGUAAAGCGUGCGUAGACGGCUAUCUAAGUCGGGUGUGAAAGCCCCGGGCUCAACCUGGGAAUUGCAUUCGAGACUGAAUAGCUAGGGUACGGUAGAGGGAAGCGGAAUUUCCGGUGUAGCGGUGAAAUGCGUAGAUAUCGGAAGGAACAUCAGUGGCGAAAGCGGCUUCCUGGACCAGUACCGACGUUCAGGCACGAAAGCGUGGGGAGCAAACAGG